GCGAGUCGAAUGUAGCAAUACAUGGCGUACUGCUCAGUAACACGUGGACAACCUACCCUCCGGACGGGUAUAAACCCGGGAAACUGGGUAUAAUCCCCGAUAGAUCUCAGUCGCUGGAAAGCCCCGAGAUCGAAAGCUCCGGCGCCAGAGGAUGGGUCUGCGGCCUAUCAGGUAGUAGUGGGUGUAGCGUACCUACUAGCCUACGACGGGUACGGGUUGUGAGAGCAAGAGCCCGGAGAUGGAUUCUGAGACACGAAUCCAGGCCCUACGGGGUGCAGCAGGCGCGAAAACUUUACAAUGCCGGCAACGGCGAUAAGGGGACCUCGAGUGCCAGGUUACAAAUCUGGCUGUCGUGAUGCCUAAAAAGCAUUGCAUAGCAAGGGCCGGGCAAGACCGGUGCCAGCCGCCGCGGUAACACCGGCGGCUCGAGUGGUAACCGUUAUUAUUGGGUCUAAAGGGUCUGUAGCCGGCCAGAUAAGUCUCUUGAGAAAUCCAGCAGCUCAACUGUUGGGCUUUCAGGAGAUACUGUCUGGCUCGAGGCCGGGAGAGGUGAGAGGUACUUCAGGGGUAGGGGUGAAAUCUUGUAAUCCUUGAAGGACCACCAGUGGCGAAGGCGUCUCACCAGAACGGACCUGACGGCAAGGGACGAAAGCUAGGGGCACGAACCGGAUUAGAUACCCGGGUAGUCCUAGCCGUAAACGAUACUCGCUAGGUGUCGGCCACGGUGCGACCGUUGUCGGUGCCGUAGGGAAGCCGUGAAGCGAGCCACCUGGGAAGUACGGCCGCAAGGCUGAAACUUAAAGGAAUUGGCGGGGGAGCACCACAACGGGUGGAGC
rnacentral:rRNA from 1 species